rnacentral:rRNA from 1 species
AAUAGCGUAUAUUAAAGUUGUUGCAGUUUAAAAAGCUCCGUUAGUUGGACCUUGGGCCUGGACAGGCGGUCCGCCUCACGGCGUGUACUGUCUUUGCUGGGCCUUUCCUCUUGGUGAUCUGUGGUUUCGGCCGCAGGGAACCAGGACCUUUACUUUGAAAAAAUUAGAGUGUUCAAAGCAGGCUUUACGCCAGAAUAUAUUAGCAUGGAAUAAUAAAAUAGGACGUGCGGUUCUAUUUUGUUGGUUUUUGGGAUCGCCGUAAUGAUUAAUAGGGACAGUCGGGGGCAUUAGUACUCACAUGCUAGAGGUGAAAUUCUUGGAUUUUGUGAAGACUAACUUCUGCGAAAGCAUUUGCCAAGGAUGUUUUCAUUAAUCAAGAACGAAGGUUAGGGUAUCGAAAACGAUUAGAUACCGUUGUAGUCUUAACAGUAAACUAUGCCGACUAGGGAUCGGUCGAUGUUAUUUUCUUGACUCGAUCGGCACCUUACGAGAAAUCAAAGUUUUUGGGUUCUGGGGGGAGUAUGGUCGCA